AUGGCACUGCACAACAAGGGAAAGCUGCAACCGUUGUUGGAUUUUGCUACUACCGGCAAAGCUUUUUGCUACAUCCAUCAGGCAGAGCUACGACCUCGCGAGGACGACAAUGAUUUUUUUGCUGCAACCGUAGCAGGGUUUUGCUACUACCGUGGGAGGUUUUUGCUACAUCCAGUAGAUAAAAAAGCUUCAACCAGACAACGAAAUACAGGAAAAGUUACAACCGUUUUGACAAAAAGCUUCAACCCGCAGAUGAAAAAGCUUCAAACAGAGAUUGAGAAAAUCCUCCUCGACGACGACCAUGGCGUCUCUCUGUGUUUUUGUUGCAACCGCAGAGUAAAAAGCUGCAACCUUUUGUGA
rnacentral:rRNA from 1 species